rnacentral:rRNA from 1 species
GAUGAACGCUAGCGGCAGGCCUAAUACAUGCAAGUCGAGGGAGAAUGUUGGAUUCGUCUGACAUGAAACCGGCGCACGGGUGCGUAACACGUAUGCAACCUACCUUUAACUGGGGUAUAGCUCAGAGAAAUCUGAAUUAAUCCCCCAUAAGACUACGACAUGGCAUCAUGAUGUAGUUAAAGCUCCGGCGGUUAAGGAUGGGCAUGCGGUACAUUAGCUAGUUGGUGGGGUAAUGGCUCACCAAGGCUACGAUGUAUAGGGGGUCUGAGAGGAGGAUCCCCCACACUGGUACUGAGACACGGACCAGACUCCUACGGGAGGCAGCAGUAGGGAAUAUUGGUCAAUGGACGCAAGUCUGAACCAGCCAUGCCGCGUGAAGGAUGAAGGCCCUAUGGGUCGUAAACUUCUUUUAUUAGGGAAGAAAAAACGGGAUGCGUCCUGUACUGACGGUACUUAAUGAAUAAGGAUCGGCUAACUUCGUGCCAGCAGCCGCUGUAA